rnacentral:rRNA from 1 species
UACGAAGGGGGCUAGCGUUGCUCGGAAUCACUGGGCGUAAAGCGCACGUAGGCGACUUCUUAAGUCAGGGGUGAAAUCCUGGAGCUCAACUCCAGAACUGCCUUUGAUACUGAGGAGCUUGAGUCCGGGAGAGGUGAGUGGAACUGCGAGUGUAGAGGUGAAAUUCGUAGAUAUUCGCAAGAACACCAGUGGCGAAGGCGGCUCACUGGCCCGAUACUGACGCUGAGGCACGAAAGCGUGGGGAGCAAACAGG